UUAGGCUUUGAACAUUGAAGUCGCGAUGCAACGGUUUCUGCUGUAACGUUCUGCUGUAACGUCCUUUUGCUUAGUUGUAAAGAAGAUUUUAGCAAUAAGGAGUGUCUGUGUUAUUGGUACAAGUGAGAUAGAUAUGUAGAGGAACAGAGAUCACAAAAACCCUCUAAAACAGCUCCAAUUGAGCCCAAAUUACACACAAGGAACGGAAGUGAGUUAAACCCAAGAGAAAAUGGCAAGUCGUUUAACAAUGGGUUCAUUUAUGGGAACACUUUCAAAAUUCAAACACGGACACCAAUGAUCUUCAACUCCGGCAUUUCUACAUGUACGGUUCUUCGCGUCAAUAGGAUAAAACAGACUCU